CGUAGCUCAGGCGGAUGGUGCGCUGUGAUACGUAGUGGGCGAGGUUUGGGCGGAGGUAGUGGUGGUAAAGGGUGGGCAGGUGGCGGAGUGAGUGAGUGGGGAAAUCGCCCGGCGUAACUUGGGGAGGGCAUUCGAGACGGCGGUGCGUGAGCAGCGGAGAGGGACGUAGAAUUCCGGGUGGAGCGGUGAAAUGCGUAGAGAUCCGGAGGAACACCGACGGCGCAGGCAGCGUCCUGGACGCUUGCUGACACUGAGGCACGAAAGCUGGGGGAGCAAACAGGAUUAGAUACCCCGGUAGUC
rnacentral:rRNA from 1 species